UAUAUAAAUAAACCUAGAUAGAGAACCAGACCAAUCGUUGGUUCACCCGAAAAUCCCGUCAUCUUCUGGUUUAUACGGCGACCGAACCUACCUUAAUCUUUGGUUUAUCUUCUCCCAUAACUACUCCACAAGCAGAUCACCGGUGAAACCAGAACCAAUCGGGUCAAUCCAAGCGAGUUGCGGCUGCGGUAACCGGUCGGACCACUUAUUAUCGUUUAUUCGAAAUUUCAUGGACGUCUGUCUCCUCUGCCAAAGCCAAGUUUCAAGGUAAAGAAAGAAACCCAGAAGUUGAAUGGCGUCACGAAGUUCAGGUCAUAAGCAAGACAUUGGGUGGAAACAUGGACAGAUGGUUAAGGAAGGGGACAAGGUUUACAUUAAGUGCAUAUAUUGUGGUAAAGUCUUUAAGGGUGGUGGGGUUUUUAGAUUGAAGGAGCAUCUUGCUGCUCGUAAGGGUGGAGGACCAAUGUGUCAAAUGGUUCCACCUGAUGUUAGACUGUUGAUGCAACAGACUCUUGAUACCCUUUCAGCUAGGAAGAAAGGCCUCCGGAAGAAGGUGAUUCAAGAACCAGUGUCUUUGGCAGAUGAAUUUGAUAGUCCUGAACAAACUAUGCCUACUUCAGGCACACGCCAAAAAAAGGACUUGGCAUGGAAAUAUUGCCAAACGUUUAAGAAUGAUGGAAGGGUCCAGAUUAAGUGUAAAUAUUGUGCUAAAAUAUUUAAGGGUGGUGGCAUUCAUAGGUUCAAGGAGCAUUUAGCCGGUCGAAAGGGUGCUGCACCUAUUUGUGACCAAGUUCCAGCUGAUGUCCGCAAUUUGAUGCUUCAGAGUUUAAAUGAGGUUGUUGGGAAGCAAAACAAGAAACAGAAACAGACUCUGGUAGAAGUGCAUGUUGGUUCAGCUCCUGCUCCUAGUGAUAUGGACAAGUUUACCAAUGAUUUUGAUGGGGAUAAUGAUGAUGAUAAUGAAGAUGAUGAUGAUGAUGAUGAUGAUGAUGAUGAUGAUGAUGAUGCAGUUGCUGCUGCUGAUGAUGAUGAUUAUAUUGGAGCCCUCAAUUCAGUUGAACGGAAUUCAAAUUUUUCAGUGGUUGGAGAAGAUGGGAUAAAUCUUGAAAAUUUGGAUAGAAGGAAGAGAGGAAGAGGUAAAGCUUCUUCUGCAAAUGCUGUUCCUUUAAAUGUAGUAAAUUUGCAAAUGGUAGACAGUCCAAUUCAAAUGACUAUAGGCCGGUUCUUGUAUGAUAUAGGAGGAAAUUUAGAUGCACUAGACUCAAUUUAUUACCCACGGUUGAUUGAUAUGAUUUCUUCUCAGGCAUCAGGGGUAGUAGCACCAUCAAAUCAUGAUCUCCGUGGUUGGAUAUUGAAGAAUUUAGUUGAAGAAAUAAAGAAUGAAAUUGAUCAAUAUGGGACAAUAUGGGCUAAGACUGGUUGUUCCAUCUUGGUUGAAGAAUGGAACUCAGAAAGUGGUAGAACCAUGCUAAAUUUUUUGGUGGAUUGCUCUCAGGCUACUGUGUUCUUGAAAACUGUUGAUGUGUCACACAUCAUAUAUUCUACAGAUGGCCUGUAUCCAUUGCUUAAACAAGUAGUGGAAGAAGUUGGAGCCAGUCAUGUUUUGCAGGUGAUUACUAAUGGUGAUGAGCAUUAUAAUGUUGCUGGCAAAAGGUUGAUGGAUACUUUUCCCUCUUUGUAUUGGGCUCCUUGUGCUGCUCGUUGCAUUGAUCUGAUACUAGGGGAUUUUGGAAAACUAGAGUGGAUAAAUGCAGUAAUUGAACAGGCUAAAUCAGUCACAAGAUUUAUCUACAAUCAUAGCACAGUUUUGAAGCUGAUGAGAAAGUUUACUUUUGGAAAAGACAUUUUGCAACAGGGAAUAACUCGUUCUGCUACUAACUUCACCAUGCUGCAAAGGAUGGCAGAUUUUAAGCUCAAUUUGCAAACUAUGAUUACCUCACAGGAGUGGAUGGAUUGCCCAUAUGCGAAGCAACUAGGAGGAUUGGCUACAUUAGAUAUUAUAAGUAAUCGGUCAUUUUGGUCUUCAUGCAUCUUGAUCAUCCGUUUAACAAGCCCACUCUUACGAGUUUUAGGAAUAGUUAGUAGUAAAAAGAAAGCUGCAAUGGGAUAUAUUUUUGCAGGAAUGUAUCAAGCAAAGGAAACAAUUAAGAGAGAACUUAUUAAGAGAGAGGAUUACAUGGUCUAUUGGAAUAUCAUGGAUCAAAGGUGGGAUCAACAGCAACAUCCCCCUCUUCAUGCUGCUGGUUUCUUCCUUAAUCCCAAGUUCUUUUAUAGUAUUGAAGGAGACGUGCAUAAUGAAAUUCUUUCAAGAGUGUUUGAUUGCAUAGAGAGAUUGGUUCCUGAUAUAGAAGUCCAAGAUAAGAUUGUGAAAGAACUGAACUUGUACAAGAAUGCUGUUGGAGAUCUUGGGAGGAAGAUGGCAAUCAGAGCUAGAGAAACUCUGCUUCCUGCUGAAUGGUGGUCUACAUAUGCUGGAAGCUGCCCAAAUUUGGCACAUUUGGCACUUCGUAUUGUCAGUCAAACUUGUAGUUCAAUUGGGUGCAAGCACAAUCAUAUUUCUUUUGAGAAGGUACAUGCCACUAGAAACUGCUUGGAGCGACGGCGACUUAGUGAUAUUGUCUUUGUGCAGUACAAUUUGCGUCUCAAAGAAAUGGUUGAUGAAAAUAAAAAACAGGUUCCUGUGGAUCCUGUAUCAUUUGACAAUAUUGGUAUUGUUGAAGACUGGAUCAUGCAAAAUGAUCUUUGUUUAGAAGACUAUGAGAGCUCAGAUUGGAUGUCCCUUGUUCCCCCUUCUGCCAACAACAUACUACUUGGACCUUCUGUUGAUGAAGUUGAAGACUGGGGAGUUGGUUUUGAUGAUUUUGAGAUUUUUGAUGGAUUGAAGAAAUGAAGAUGAUGUAGCAAGUCAGUAGAACUGCAGAAAGUCCAACACCAGGAGACCCUGUCGAUAUGAAACCAGCCACCUGAAACAGCUUGAAAAAAAAAUAUGUUUGGGUUGGGUUGGGUUUGGACUCGAAUCGCCUCCAGCCCAUAAUCUAUUGCCAAAGACCUCCUUGGAGACUUGUUGCACAUCGAUUGACAUGUUGUUGCUGACGGAUUGCAAGUCGGAAUAACCUAAUGCCUUCAUGUUCCUGGGUAAGUUAGAUUCAACCAUAAAGCCAAUAACACUCAUGUUGUUGUGUUAUGUGCAUCUUUGCUCCUAAUUCUGCCCCUUACACUCGCCAUAUCAACCACUAUGCCACUUGCCACAUUAGCGACUUACCACGUUAGCAAAUUUUUCGCAGAAUUCUUCCUUGCUAAUUUUGAUAUCCAGAUUUCAAGUUUGACAUCCAUUUUGGGGAGAAACGAAUAUUUAAGUUUCUACGCUGCUUUUUAAUAUUUCUGCAAGUCACAACGUGUAGAAGUCGUCAUCUCUUUGUUAGCGCUACAACAGCCAACAGUGGUACAACAGAUAAGGUUGAUCCAAAUGGGCCAGCAGAAGCAAAUCCUAAUCUCAUAAGAUACAAGAGAUUCACACAUGGGAAGUCUAGAAGACAUCAACAGCAGAUGGGAUCAAGAUAAAUACCAGAAUUUUAAUUAAAUAAAAAUCAUGAUCAAAUCAUUCCUGUUUUGAAUUUAUCUUAUCAUUUUGUUGUCAAUUUCUAUUUUAGAGAUAAUUUUCAAUUCCUUGUUUUGAGGAUGGUUAUACCAUCAAGCUGUAUUUAAAGGCAGCCAAGUUUAAUAAAAGAUCAUCAAGAAAUUCAUUCA